GAUCGCUGUGACGACUCACAAAUUUUCAAGCUCAACAGACCGGAAAGCGGGUUUCUUUAUAUUUCUAUGGAGAUUCUCGCGUGUCGAUAACCCCGCUGAACCGAGCGAUC